rnacentral:miRNA from 1 species
AAAUUUCAAAUCUUUUCGACA